rnacentral:rRNA from 1 species
AGUAGGGAAUCUUCCACAAUGGACGAAAGUCUGAUGGAGCAACGCCGCGUGAGUGACGAAGGGUUUCGGCUCGUAAAGCUCUGUUGGUAGUGAAGAAAGAUAGAGGUAGUAACUGGCCUUUAUUUGACGGUAAUUACUUAGAAAGUCACGGCUAACUACGUGCCAGCAGCCGCGGUAAUACGUAGGUGGCAAGCGUUGUCCGGAUUUAUUGGGCGUAAAGCGAGUGCAGGCGGUUCAAUAAGUCUGAUGUGAAAGCCUUCGGCUCAACCGGAGAAUUGCAUCAGAAACUGUUGAACUUGAGUGCAGAAGAGGAGAGUGGAACUCCAUGUGUAGCGGUGGAAUGCGUAGAUAUAUGGAAGAACACCAGUGGCGAAGGCGGCUCUCUGGUCUGCAACUGACGCUGAGGCUCGAAAGCAUGGGUAGCGAACAGG